rnacentral:rRNA from 1 species
AGAGCGAACGCUGGCGGCAGGCUUAACACAUGCAAGUCGAGCGGGCGUAGCAAUACGUCAGCGGCAGACGGGUGAGUAACGCGUGGGAACGUACCUUUUGGUUCGGAACAACACAGGGAAACUUGUGCUAAUACCGGAUAAGCCCUUACGGGGAAAGAUUUAUCGCCAAAAGAUCGGCCCGCGUCUGAUUAGCUAGUUGGUGAGGUAACGGCUCACCAAGGCGACGAUCAGUAGCUGGUCUGAGAGGAUGAUCAGCCACAUUGGGACUGAGACACGGCCCAAACUCCUACGGGAGGCAGCAGUGGGAAUAUUGGACAAUGGGCGCAAGCCUGAUCCAGCCAUGCCGCGUGAGUGAUGAAGGCCCUAGGGUUGUAAAGCUCUUUUGUGCGGGAAGAUAAUGACGGUACCGCAAGAAUAAGCCCCGGCUAACUUCGCGCCAGCAGCCGC